rnacentral:rRNA from 1 species
UACGAGUGGUCCAAGCGUUAUCCGGAAUUAUUGGGCGUAAAGGGUCUGUAGGUGGUUUAGUUAGUCUCUCGUUAAAUCUUUGGGCUCAACCUAAAGUUCGCGAGGGAAACGGCUAGACUAGAAUAUGUUAGGGGUGUGCGGAACUCAUAGUGUAGGGGUGAAAUCCGUUGAUAUUAUGGGGAACACCAAAAGCGAAGGCAGCACACUGGAACAUUAUUGACACUGAAAGACGAAAGCGUGGGUCGCGAAUGGG